rnacentral:rRNA from 1 species
AUUGAACGCUGGCGGCAGGCUUAACACAUGCAAGUCGAGCGGAGAUGAGGUGCUUGCACCUUAUCUUAGCGGCGGACGGGUGAGUAAUGCUUAGGAAUCUGCCUAUUAGUGGGGGACAACAUUCCGAAAGGAAUGCUAAUACCGCAUACGUCCUACGGGAGAAAGCAGGGGAUCUUCGGACCUUGCGCUAAUAGAUGAGCCUAAGUCGGAUUAGCUAGUUGGUGGGGUAAAGGCCUACCAAGGCGACGAUCUGUAGCGGGUCUGAGAGGAUGAUCCGCCACACUGGGACUGGGACACGGCCCAGACUCCUACGGGAGGCAGCAGUGGGGAAUAUUGGACAAUGGGGGGAACCCUGAUCUAGCCAUGCCGCGUGUGUGAAGAAGGCCUUAUGGUUGUAAAGCACUUUAAGCAAGGAGGAGGCUACUGAGACUAAUACUCUUGGAUAGUGGACGUUACUCGCAGAAUAAGCACCGGCUAACUCUGUGCCAGCCGCCGCCGUAAGAC